GACGUAGGGCGCGAGCGUUGUCCGGAUUUAUUGGGCGUAAAGAGCUCGUAGGCGGCUUGUCGCGUCGUCCGUGAAAACCCACAGCUCAACUGUGGGCUUGCGGUCGAUACGGGCAGGCUAGAGUUCGGUAGGGGAGACUGGAAUUCCUGGUGUAGCGGUGAAAUGCGCAGAUAUCAGGAGGAACACCGGUGGCGAAGGCGGGUCUCUGGGCCGACAUUGACGCUGAGGAGCGAAAGCGUGGGGAGCGAACAGG
rnacentral:rRNA from 1 species